AUUAGAUUUAUCCUUCUAUUGUUGCAGUUAUUUUACUUUUCCUACUGGUGGACCGCUCCCCUGCUUUUUACUUCUUGCUAGCUCUCAAGGCAAUUGUUAUUUCAGGCUUGUUAAUUGUGUCUGCCAACUCCCACAUAGCUCCUGGAGCGUAACCCUGCACGGGGUAAUGCGCCACUUUCUAUUGCCCCGCCAUUGAAUUAGGCCCUGCCUCUCCCAGAAUGAGAUGUACGCUCGUCCUUUCUCUAUGCUUUUUUUUUCUUUUUUUUUCUGUUUUCUCUGGAGGGUUGUAUUGCAACAAGCUUUUACACCUGGAACUGAAAAUUCAAGACCGGGCAUGUAGGCUGUAGUAUCUCAUAUCCACUCUGGAAUGGGCAGAGAAGGGAAAUCGUUAUGUACUCACCAGCAGAUUAUAUUUUGACAUUAAACUUGUGAAUAGCUCCUUGGAGCCCUGGGAUUACUCAGUAAUAUUUUUUUUUUCCUUCUUAAUCAAGAAUAUAUGCUUUUCCCAAGUCUGCGUUUAACUGUCAGAUUCAUCUUAUUUGCUUUGGACGAGAGAUUAAAGGUUAAUGUCACAAGAAUGUCAUUGCACUAUGAUUUAAGUGCCCCUUAUUUUUAAGGGAGAUUACUAGUUUCUGUUGCAACUGUGUCUUUGCUUAAAACCCAACUUUCUACACAAGCUUCACCAUCCUUAUUGAUACAUAGUAUUUUCAAGAGAAAUAAAGAGCCACGAAGUUAGAUAAUAAAGAUUCCUUCAUGUGGCUCCAUACAUUUACAUCAUAAAAAAUCUUCAUCACUUUAUGUCAUUUGUCACUGUUUUCCAGAACAUCAGCUCUGGCACUACUUCGCAUACUUAACGUCUUACAAAGUUUCAAACAGCUACUAUAAUAAAGAACACAAGAUGCCACCAAUAACCCAGCAUAAAGAUACUUCUUCUGCAUCCUUGAGAGUGUUGUUCCAGAACUUUCCUGGCCUGAGAUGCAGGAGGGAGAAGCAGAGUCAUUGUCCACAGCAUUGAAGUCUGAUCAGUCAAGCUCUCAGGAGGACACUCCUGCAAGAAAGUGCUGCUCCUCCUGCUACUCCUUCUGUAGCCAACAGCAAGUGGAACAUUGGAUGUCAUUUGGUUUCAAGAGCCACCUUGAAAGUGAUGAGUUGCUGCUCACCAGAUGUACUUCUUUGUUAUUAUUUACCUAGUGACCGAAUUUUUACGGUCCCUUCACAGACGUCCUCACAAAGUAAAAAUCCAUCCGUAAGUAAAAAAAUCCCGAAUCCUCUCUGUUUGUGCUUUGACCUAUGAUAAUAGUUGCAGAGUGGUAGCUUUGAAAGUCAGCAUCUCAGUACCAGUUGUACAAAAGCAGCACCACCAUCUAUAUCCUCUUGUCGUGACUCCGUAUGGAAUUGGGAUCAGACUAUACUGCAAAAAAAGAGAUCUUCUUGAUUCUCUAAUUCCUUCAGGAACCUGCAGUCAUAUUUUCCAAUAAAUAUGCACGGUAAAGACA
rnacentral:lncRNA from 1 species